rnacentral:rRNA from 1 species
GACGAACGCUGGCGGCGUGCUUAACACAUGCAAGUCGAACGGAAAGGCCCUGCUUUUGUGGGGUGCUCGAGUGGCGAACGGGUGAGUAACACGUGAGUAACCUGCCCUUGACUUUGGGAUAACUUCAGGAAACUGGGGCUAAUACCGGAUAGGAGCUCCUGCUGCAUGGUGGGGGUUGGAAAGUUUCGGCGGUUGGGGAUGGACUCGCGGCGUAUCAGCUUGUUGGUGGGGUAGUGGAUUACCAAGGCUUUGACGGGUAGCCGGCCUGAGAGGGUGACCGGCCACAUUGCGACUGAGCUACGGCACAGACUCCUACGGGAGGCAGCAGUGGGGAAUAUUGCACUAUAGGCGGAAGCAUGAUGCAGCAACGCCGCGUGCGGGAUGACGGCCUGCGGGUAGUAAACCGCUUUCGCCUGUGACGAAGCGUUAGUGACGGUAAUGGGUAAAGAAGCACCGGCUAACUACGUG